CCUACGGGUGGCUGCAGUGAGGAAUAUUGGUCAAUGGACGAGAGUCUGAACCAGCCAAGUAGCGUGAAGGAUGACUGCCCUAUGGGUUGUAAACUUCUUUUAUAAAGGAAUAAAACGAGGCACGUGUGCCUUUUUGUAUGUACUUUAUGAAUAAGGAUCGGCUAACUCCGUGCCAGCAGCCGCGGUAAUACGGAGGAUCCGAGCGUUAUCCGGAUUUAUUGGGUUUAAAGGGAGCGUAGAUGGGUUGUUAAGUCAGUUGUGAAAGUUUGCGGCUCAACCGUAAAAUUGCAAUUGAUACUGGCAGUCUUGAGUACAGUUGAGGUAGGCGGAAUUCGUGGUGUAGCGGUGAAAUGCUUAGAUAUCACGAAGAACCCUGAUUGCGAAGGCAGCUUACUAAACUGUGACUGACAUUGAUGCUCGAAAGUGUGGGUAUCAAACAGGAUUAGAUACCCUAGUAGUC
rnacentral:rRNA from 1 species